rnacentral:lncRNA from 1 species
GAGAAAUGAAAUGAUAUUCAGAAAUUGAUGGGAGUGAGCAUCGAAGUUGAGUUGACACAGAAACUGAAAAAACCCUGACUCGGUUACCGAAUGACUCACUAUAUAUAUCAGAGGAAUCGUUGCAUUACAACUCAGCUCUAUGUGGAGUACUUUACUUAUUAUGUGUCACCGCUCAACUCAUUUAUUUAUUUUUUUAUUUAUUUUCUAAAUAAAAAAUAAUGCAAACGCAUCGUUUCGACCACUUUGCGUGAGUGAGAGUGAGG